rnacentral:rRNA from 1 species
CUACGGGUCGCUGCAGUGGGGAAUUUUGCGCAAUGGGCGAAAGCCUGACGCAGCAAUACCGCGUGAGUGAAGAAGGCCUUUGGGUCGUAAAGCUCUUUUCUGGGGGAAGAUAGUGACGGUACCCCAGGAAUAAGCACCGGCUAACUCCGUGCCAGCAGCCGCGGUAAUACGGAGGGUGCAAGCGUUGUUCGGAUUUACUGGGCGUAAAGGGCACGUAGGCGGCACAGCAAGUUAAGGGUGAAAUCCCGGGGCUCAACUCCGGAACUGCUCUUAAAACUGCUGAGCUAGAGAUGGUCAGAGGCGGGUAGAAUUCCUGGUGUAGAGGUGAAAUUCGUAGAUAUCAGGAGGAAUACCGGUGGCGAAGGCGGCCCGCUGGGGCCAUUCUGACGCUAAGGUGCGAAAGCGUGGGGAGCGAACGGGAUUAGAUACCCCCGUAGUC